ACCAUUUAGCUGCUUGUAAAUGUGUGAUCCAUUCCGCAAUCUGAAAUCAAUGUUGGCACCGAUCUGGCAACUUUUGGGCGAGUCUCUGUUCUGCAGUGUUUCCGGUAUCCGAUUUCUGUGACUGAAGCGUUGAUAAGUGUUAGGUGCUAUCGCAGUUUUCAGUGGAGGUGGUUGGUACCCUACAUUCCCUUGCUGGACACAUGUGCGAAAGAGAGAUGAGGAAGCGCUGGAAACAUAGCAGGUAGAUUCUUAGCUGCGUAAUAGCUCGGGCACGACUCGGGAGUCGGAACGGGCAAUAUCCUUGUGCAUUCAGUUGGUGAACUCUUGUGUUCCAUUGGGUAAUACUAUCAAAUCUCAAUGUGCUAUUUGGGAAAAUUUUAUUUUUCUCCUGACAUUUGCCACAAUUUCUGUCGGUGGACAAAAUAUCUUUUAGGAUUGGUAGUAGCUUCCGAAGCAGUAGGUUCCAACAUCAUCUAACGUCUGCUUUAGUAAUGGCAGGGAUGUGAAUGAUAAUUUGUGAAAUCAAACAAGUUAAGCAGGUGCCUAGCUCAACAACUCCUAUGAUUGGUGGUGGUAGUUAUAAGGCACCUGUUCAGGCAACAGUUUCGUUUUUUAAUCUGCAAAGGAUUUUUGCGUUAUUGCGUCUACUGUGGAGCCUGUGUAGCAUACGCAAGGGGGCGUUCAUCUGCAUUCCUGAUCAUCAAGCAGUUGCAAAUAUGUUCUACACUGAUAAGCAUCAGAGGCAAAGGGCCAGCUGAACUAGUACUAAUCUCUCCCGUAGAACUCCUAUUUUUAUACGGUCUGCUGCUAAGGGCACAAAAACGAGGCGAAGACUCAGCAACCAUUAAUCGACGAACGAGACUUGGACGCAGCAGAGGGCGAAGUGAAGGCGAAGCGAAGUUCUGAUGUGCCAUUCGGCACCACGAUACUUUGCUGAGGUUUCAUUCUACUAUACUACUACGUAUGCCACGAGAUCUUAUUCUAAGGCACCAAAAUACUACACCACGAAUGCUGCCUAGUACCACUCUACUGCCUUGUACUACACUUCAGCUCCGGAAUACUAUCCCUACACAAGGUGGAAUACCAUAAUACAAUUCGAGCAUUUCAGCCAUAAAGUAUCCCAGGAGUUGUCACGGCUGCAAAACCAAUUAAACUACCGCGUGUUACGUUUCAGAGAUGGUGGUGCCAGUACAUACCGGUUUGAAAUAUUGUCCUGUCUGAGUGCAGAGUGCCAGACAUGGUCGGCUGACGGGUCCGAUAUUUGACAUGAAACUUGGAGACUAUGUUGUUGCUACACCUUGCUAAGCUACGUUAUAUAGAAAUACAGUCAAUAUGUUUAUGUAA
rnacentral:lncRNA from 1 species